AACAACAACCCUAAAUUUUACAACCUGCCAUGUGUACGGUCACGAGAUUAAGAAUCGGAUCUACGAAGCCACCAAAAUUCCCACCCACCUUCAGCGCCUCAUCUACUCCGGCCUCCAGUUGAAGGACAGAACCGUAAUAUCGGAUGAUCACAUCACCUUCAACCUCGUGCUCCGCCUCUUGGGAGGCAAAGGCGGGUUCGGAUCGUUACUCCGUGGCGCGGCCACGAAAGCAGGUCAAAAGAAGACGAACAACUUCGACGCGUGUCGCGAUAUGAGUGGGCGG
rnacentral:lncRNA from 1 species